rnacentral:rRNA from 1 species
AUUGAACGCUGGCGGCAUGCUUUGCACAUGCAAGUCGAACGGUAACAGGCCUUCGGGUGCUGACGAGUGGCGAACGGGUGCGUAAUGCAUCGGAACGUACCCAGAGGUGGGGGAUAACGCAGCGAAAGCUGUGCUAAUACCGCAUGUGAUCUGAGGAUGAAAGCGGGGGACCGAGCAGCAAUGUUUGGCCUCGCGCCUUUGGAGCGGCCGAUGUCGGAUUAGCUAGUUGGUGGGGUAAAGGCCUACCAAGGCGACGAUCCGUAGCUGGUCUGAGAGGACGACCAGCCACACUGGGACUGAGACACGGCCCAGACUCCUACGGGAGGCAGCAGUGGGGAAUUUUGGACAAUGGGCGCAAGCCUGAUCCAGCAAUGCCGCGUGCGGGAAGAAGGCCUUCGGGUUGUAAACCGCUUUUGGCAGGAACGAAACGGUGUCCGCUAAUACCGGGCGCUAAUGACGGUACCUGCAGAAUAAGCACCGGCUAACUACGUG